AGUUGCAUAAUAAAUUUGUAAAAUAAGCAAAGUUAAAAUAAAAUUUUUUUCUCUGUAAACAUGAUUUUCAACAUUAUAUUUUAAUUAUGAAGCGAUAACUUUACAACAAUAAGGUGUACAUAUAAAAUAUAUAUACCUUGCGCACGCGUACACAUAUUGCUAUACAAAAUUGUGUAUGGGAACGCGGCAUGCUGACUUAUUGCUGAUGAGAGGUGUUCGCGCCGGUCCAAAAUAUAGAUCUACCAGCUCACUGGAAAAGAUACUUUUGUAAUUUUUAACUACGAGAGAAGGAAAUGUCUUUCCUUGGAUCUAAUUUAUAGUACCAUUAUUGUUUAAAAUAAAUUUCUCUCAUCCGAGGUAUUUAUAUAUAAAAAUCAACUUAAAGCUAUCAU